rfam:Alligator sinensis unplaced genomic scaffold scaffold198_1, whole genome shotgun sequence
AUCAGGAUGGCCAAGCGGUCAAAGGCAUUGUGUUUAAAUUGUAGUCUCCCCUGAAAGUGUGGGUUCGCGUCCCAUUCCUGACA